CCAGAUCUUAGUUGCGGCAUUUGGGAUCUUUGAUCUUUGUUGUAGUGUGCAGGAUCUUUAGUUGCAGCGUGUGGGAUAUAGUUCCCUGACCCAGUAUGGAACCCAGGCCCACUGCAUUGGGAUCAUAGAGUCUUAGCCACUGGACAUCAGUGAAGUCCCUUCCUCUUCUAAUAAGAACAUUAAGUCCAUCAUGAGUGCCCUACCCACAUAAACUAAUCUAUUUUGAGUUACUUCCCCAAAGCCCAACUCUACAUAGGAUCACCCUUAGGUGGAUUAUGGUGAUUAGGGCUUUAACACAUGAAUUUCAAAAACACAGACAUUCAGUCCAUACAUUCUGCCUCUGGCUUCCUGAAAUUCAGGUCCUUUUCAUUUACAAAAUAAUUCCAUCCUAGCAGCCCCAAAGUCUUAAUUCGCUUUAGAUUUAAAGUCUGAAGUCCAAAGUCUCAUCUAAACAUUAUCUAAGUCAGAUAUAGGUCAAAUUCAAGCUGAGGCGAUUCCUCUUCAGCUAUGAACCCGUAAAAUCAGACAGGUUAUAUGCUUCCCAAAUACAGUUUUGCGUGUUUAUAGGGUAUAGACAUUGGAUGUCGAGAAAAACCCACAGUUCUUCCCUCCUGUGUUUCUCUCCUAUCAUUUUUUUUUAAGUCUUUAUUGAAUUUGUUAAAAUACUACUUCAGUUUUAUGUCUGGUUUUUUGGUCGUGAGGCAUGUGGGAUCUUAGUUCCCCUACCAGGGGUCGAACCUGUACCCACUGCAUUGAAAAGCAAAGUCUUAACCACUGGGCCACUGGGGAAGUCCCUCUCCUGGGUCUUCUUUACUAUUCACACAGAACAUUUCCCUUCUGACAUUUGGGGUCACCAAAUGUGGGUAAUUUCCCCACACUAAUUCUCUGCAAAACCAGCUGAGUGACCCACAAUUUAGCUCAGUUCUGACACUCUGGAGACAGUGUCAAACUGCACAGGUUAAGCGAUUGGUCUCACAAGAUACACACCAACUUUAGAUACUAGUUCCAAGCCCAGGUUAUCACCUGCCCUAUUGACUAACCAGCUGUAGAUCAGAGGUUCCAACAACCCCCUUUUGGGUUUAAUUUGCUAGAGUGGUUCACAGAACUCAGGAAAACAGUUUACUUACAUUUUCUUUUUUUUUAAUAAAAGGUUAUGAGGAUGGAUACAUAGAGUAAGAUCUCAGAGGGUCCCGAGCACAAGAACUGCUGUCUGUGGAGUUAGGAUGUGUCACGCUCUGAGGAGCUCUCUGAACCUGAUAUUAUUGUUUUUUUAUGGAGGCUUCAUCAUGCAGGCAUCUCCAUUAUCAAGAGAAUGGGGUGGGGGUAGGGGAGCUGAAAAUCUCAAGCUUUAACCAUGGUUUUGUCUUUCCCCUGACCAGCCCUUAUCCAGGAGCCUACGCAGAGUUGCUUUAUUAGAAUGAAAGAUGAGACUUCCUUGGUGGUCCAAUGGUUAAGACUCUGCUCCCAGUGGAGGAGGCAUGGGUCAGAUUCCGCCCCCCCCAAAAAAUAAUAAAGCAAUAUUCCUAUCACUUAGUAAAUUACAAAGAUUUCAGGAACCCUGUGUCAGGAACCAGGGUCAAAGACCAAAUAUUAGAACCAAAGGUGCUCCUGGUGCUCUUACCACUUCGAAAAUUACAAGGACUUAAGGGGCUCUGUGCUAGGAACUAG
ensembl:lncRNA